UCCCCUCCCCCUCCGCGGGCCUCCCCCUCCCGCGCGGUACAGCUGGGCCGGUGACGCGCGUACUGCUGCCGUUGCCUCUGCUACGGCCGCCGCGUUCCAUUCUCCUAAGCCGGCGACAUCCUCGUCCCCUGCCUCCAGCCUCCUCCUCCCGCAGCGCCGGCCAGCGCCAGCCAGACAAGGGCACUCGGGGUCUCGCCUAGACCCAAGAGGGCUGCGGGCGCGCGCAGGCGGUGGAGCGGAUCCCGGCGCCGCGGACGCUGUGAGCGUCCGCCUCCCGGAGGUCGCCGCGCCGUUCCCCGGGUGAAUCUACCCAGGGCUGACUUCAGUGUUCUUACUUCCGGCUUUAAAAUUUUUUCUUUUUAAAGUAACUUGGACGGAUGAAAGAUGUGCCAUGGCGGGAUAGCACCAAAGAGCACCGCACUGCCGGCCGCGGCCUCCGCGGGGCAUGGAGUGUUCCUUCUGCUGCUGACUCUUGGCACCCUCCUUGGAGACGGCCUCGCCUCGGCUAACCUAGGCUACUUGAUGCUCUCUGGGCUUAAUCUACACUGUCCUACUUUGGUGCAUUAGCUGCAAACCACCACCUCCUUUCCUGCUGAAAUCAAGCCCCAUUGGAAAUGCCACUUCCUCCACGAGCCGUUCCCAGCCGUUCCCCACACAAGGUUGGUCUCUCCUGCUCUCAGCUCCCUCUCUUGUGACACUAAUCCCUUUCUUUGAUGUGUAUUAGAAUAAAUCUGUGUGGAGUAUCUUUGGAGAGAGGCACUGAGUUGACUAGGAAAGGAGAAGGGCUUACUUUUCAUGUUCACCCUCUUACUUUUUGGAUUUUUACCAUGUAUAUAUUUCCUAUGAUUAUUUUUUCUAUGAAGGUAUUAUUUGCAUAACAAAGGACCCAGUCUAUAAAACGUUAGGAGAAGAUAUUGGAGAGUAUGUUUAGGAAAAUGUCCUUACCCAAGACACAAAACCCAGAAGCCAUGAAGAAAACAACUUUUAAAAUAUAUGUGUCGGGACUUCCCUGGUGACGCAGUGGUUAAGACUCCAAGCUCCCAGUGCAGGGGGCCCGGGUUUGAUCCCUGGUCAGGGAACUAGAUCCCACAUGCAUGCCGCAACUAAGAGUUUGCAUGCCACAACUAAGGAGCCAGCGAGCCGCAACUAAGGAGCCCACCUACCGCAACUAAGACCUGGUGCAACCAACCUAAUUAAUUAAUUAAUUUAAAAAUAUAUAUGUGCGGACUUACUUGUCAUACCCCUAUUUGGCUACAAGUACCUGAAGUGCUUAUCUUUCUAUCCUUUUUCAGAGCAUAGCACAGUGAUCCCUACA